UACGAAGGGGGCUAGCGUUGCUCGGAAUCACUGGGCGUAAAGAGCUCGUAGGCGGUUCGUCGCGUCGGCUGUGAAAACCCGGAGCUCAACUCCGGGCCUGCAGUCGAUACGGGCGGACUUGAGUGUUGCAGGGGAGACUGGAAUUCCUGGUGUAGCGGUGAAAUGCGCAGAUAUCAGGAGGAACACCGGUGGCGAAGGCGGGUCUCUGGGCAACUACUGACGCUGAGGAGCGAAAGCGUGGGGAGCGAACAGG
rnacentral:rRNA from 1 species